CCUACGGGAGGCAGCAGUCGAGAAUCAUUCACAAUGGGGGAAACCCUGAUGGUGCGACGCCGCGUGGGGGAAUGAAGGUCUUCGGAUUGUAAACCCCUGUCAUGUGGGAGCAAAUUAAAAAGAUAGUACCACAAGAGGAAGCGACGGCUAACUCUGUGCCAGCAGCCGCGGUAAUACAGAGGGCUCAAGCGUUGUUCGGAAUCACUGGGCGUAAAGCGUGCGUAGGCUGUUUCGUAAGUCGUGUGUGAAAGGCGCGGGCUCAACCCGCGGACGGCACAUGAUACUGCGAGACUAGAGUAAGGGAGGGGGAAGCGGAAUUCCCGGUGUAGCAGUGAAAUGCGUAGAUAUCGAGAGGAACACUAGUGGCGAAGGCGGGUUCCUGGACAUUAACUGACGCUGAGGCACGAAGGCCAGGGGAGCGAAAGGGAUUAGAUACCCUAGUAGUC
rnacentral:rRNA from 1 species